rnacentral:rRNA from 1 species
CCAUGCAAGUCGUACCAGUGAAGCCAUUCAAUGCUUGGUGGAUCAGUGGCGAACGGGUGAGUAACACGUGAGCAACCUGCCCUGGACUCUGGGAUAAGCGCUGGAAACGGCGUCUAAUACUGGAUAUGAGACGUGAUCGCAUGGUCGUGUUUGGAAAGAUUUUUCGGUCUGGGAUGGGCUCGCGGCCUAUCAGCUUGUUGGUGAGGUAAUGGCUCACCAAGGCGUCGACGGGUAGCCGGCCUGAGAGGGUGACCGGCCACACUGGGACUGAGACACGGCCCAGACUCCUACGGGAGGCAGCAGUGGGGAAUAUUGCACAAUGGGCGAAAGCCUGAUGCAGCAACGCCGCGUGAGGGAUGACGGCCUUCGGGUUGUAAACCUCUUUUAGCAGGGAAGAAGCGAAAGUGACGGUACCUGCAGAAAAAGCGCCGGCUAACUACGUGCCAGCAGCCGCGGUAAUACGUAGGGCGCAAGCGUUAUCCGGAAUUAUUGGGCGUAAAGAGCUCGUAGGCGGUUUGUCGCGUCUGCUGUGAAAUCCCGAGGCUCAACCUC